ACUGUCCCUAGAGGCUUUGCAGGUGUGGCUCUGUGUCAGUCACAUGCACAUCAGUAGGAGGCAGAGAGAAGAGAGGCUGUGCCUGUGCUCAGUGUUCUGACCUGUGAACAUCUGAAUGAUUAGCAGCCCACCAGU